rnacentral:lncRNA from 1 species
UUUGCUGUAUGUGAGCAUCUCCCUGAAGAAAUAUGAGAACACAACAUACUAUCAUGUCGCAUCGGGUAAGAUUCUUAUUACCAGAACCGCAUUUCUUCUUUUUCAAAUUCUUUUACCAGAAUAGUCAUAAGAGAAUCCCUCGUUGGUUGCCUUUUGAGAAACUAACACUGUUUCCCUUUUGUGUUUCCGCGAGAUGAUCCAACCAACACGACCACCUCACGGCGCACCUCUGCUCGAUCAAGUGGUGACCUGUAGACGAUCGAGACACCUCUCAAACGCCUUGCCAGGUAAACACUUAGUGAGCAUAUCUGCUGGAUUUGCUGUAGUAUGAAU